CUGAGAUCAGGGAACUGGGAUGGUGAGUUUUGUUUCUCACAGAAAAUGGCUUCCACAUUAUUUUAAUUCACUUUAAACAUACCAAGGUUAUUUGAAGUCUAGUCUUAUACACAAAAAGUAUUCAUCUGUACAGGAGAACUCUUCUUACAGCCUGAUUACAGUGGUGGCUGUACCCUUUUACAUUUGUAAAAAAUCCUUCUCCAAAACCCUUCUAUACAAAAGCACUCCAACAAAAUUAAGCUGGUUCAUGAAGUUUUGCAAAGUGUAUUUGUAGUGUACUGAACUUCUGUUUUCAGUCCUCAAACAGCUGAAAACUGUUCAACAAUGGUGUCAUUUCCUCUUUGAUCAAAUAUUACAGUAAGACCCUGCCUUUAGAAAAGUACAGGAAUACCAGUAACUCACAUGGAAGUGCAUUGACAUGAUCCAGAUGGUGAUGGAGGAAGAUUUAUGAGGAUUAAAUAUCAGCUAGUUCCAUAGAAAACAAAGGGCUGUUACCAUCAGCAGAUUCCUCUGCCACAUCUUCCUGAGAAUAUCCUGUACAGUGACAUCCACAUACCUUGUAAGCUCCAAAAGGAUGCUGUGCCAAAACCCUGGUGCUGCGAAGAGUGCAGAGGAUUUAUUGGCUCUCCGUGAAUUCCCAGGUGAAUUGUAGGCCAGUGACCUGUGAGGAGAUCAUCACCCUGAGCCUCUCAGUUCCUUUAGAGCAGAAACUGUCAAAAAUAUUCUUCCUCUUACAAAAUGCUACUUGUGACACCAAGGAAAUGCUGAGGGCAUUAGGUUUCCACUAACUUCCUGAUCCAUUAAAAAAUUAUCACAAUU